rnacentral:sRNA from 1 species
AAGUGUUGUUGAGCUUUGUUAAUAUAUUGACGCAAUUAUAAAAUAUAUGUUAAACAAAUAAAUAAAAUGUUUUAAUACAAUUUGAGUGCAUAAAAACCUGUUAAAUUACUCGAAAGCUGUGCAAAUGGAAAUAGUACAAAUUCUAAGGACAUUCUACAUCAAUAACAUGAUAGUCUCUUGCGUGGAAAACGAUGUUGUUUGUGUAUUCAUAUGAAAACCUCUUCUGGGAAUCAAUGGAUAUGGAAUCAAUUGCUGAAUACAAAGAAUUGAGUGUACAUAAGUUGACAGAAAAGUGGAAAUUUCUACCCCCAUUCCCACAAGGUUAUAUUGUUGAUUUCGGCUGUUUAGCUGUUCGCGUGAGACCAACUUGUUAAAUUCGCCUUGGUGUCAACCCAGUAAAUUUGACACGAGUAUGAAAAUUUUCAGUGCGUGAACAGCAAAAUGGCAUCACAAGAUUCACUUGUAAUGAACCAAAGUUCCAACGUUCGGAAAAUUAGAACGAUGCGGACAGGGAGUUGGUGAAGAAGACACUCAACAGAAAUAUUUUAUAAAGCACUGUUACACAUUUUAUCGGAAAUUUAAUCCAAGAACAUAUUUUUUAAUGCAAAAAAAAAAAUUAUUUUCUUUUAUAAAAUUGGUGAGA